rnacentral:tRNA from 1 species
GCGUGGGUUAGCUCAGUGGUUGGAGCUUAGGGCUUGUGACCGCGAAGACCCUGGUUCGAAUCGCGUCAGAGGCA